CCUACGGGAGGCAGCAGUGAGGAAUAUUGGUCAAUGGCCGAAAGUCUGAACCAGCCAAGCCGCGUGAAGGACGACUGCGCCAAGCGUUGUAAACUUCUUUUAUAAAGGGAUAAAACCAGGCUCGAGUGCCUUAUUGCGUGUACUUUAAGAAUAAGGAUCGGCUAACUCCGUGCCAGCAGCCGCGGUAAUACGGAGGAUGCGAGCGUUAUCCGGAUUUAUUGGGUUUAAAGGGUGCGUAGGUGGGUUGUUAAGUCAGUUGUGAAAGGUUGCGGCUCAACCGUAGAAUUGCCAUUGAUACUGGCAGUCUUGAGUACAGGUGAGGUAAGCGGAAUUCGUAGUGUAGCGGUGAAAUGCUUAGAUAUCGCGAAGAACCCCGAUUGCGAAGGCAGCAUACUAACCUGUGACUGACAUUGAUGCACGAAAGUGUGGGUAUCAAACAGGAUUAGAUACCCCUGUAGUC
rnacentral:rRNA from 1 species